rnacentral:rRNA from 1 species
GUUGAACGCUGGCGGCAUGCUUUACACAUGCAAGUCGAACGGUAACAGGCCUUCGGGUGCUGACGAGUGGCGCACGGGUGAGUAAUGCAUCGGAACGUACCCAGAGGUGGGGGAUAACGCAGCGAAAGCUGUGCUAAUACCGCAUGUGAUCUGAGGAUGAAAGCGGGGGACCGAGCAGCAAUGUUUGGCCUCGCGCCUUUGGAGCGGCCGAUGUCGGAUUAGCUAGUUGGUGGGGUAAAGGCCUACCAAGGCGACGAUCCGUAGCUGGUCUGAGAGGACGACCAGCCACACUGGGACUGAGACACGGCCCAGACUCCUACGGGAGGCAGCAGUGGGGAAUUUUGGACAAUGGGCGCAAGCCUGAUCCAGCAAUGCCGCGUGCGGGAAGAAGGCCUUCGGGUUGUAAACCGCUUUUGGCAGGAACGAAACGGUGUCCGCUAAUACCGGGCGCUAAUGACGGUACCUGCAGAAUAAGCACCGGCUAACUACGUG